CACCCUACGGGGCGCAGCAGUGGGGAAUAUUGCACAAUGGGGGAAACCCUGAUGCGGCGACGCCGCGUGAAGGAAGAAGUACUUCGGUAUGUAAACUUCUAUCAGCAGGGAAGAAAAUGACGGUACCUGACUAAGAAGCCCCGGCUAACUACGUGCCAGCAGCCGCGGUAAUACGUAGGGGGCAAGCGUUAUCCGGAUUUACUGGGUGUAAAGGGAGCGUAGACGGAGGAGCAAGUCUGAUGUGAAAAUCCGGGGCCCAACCCCGGAACUGCAUUGGAAACUGUUUAUCUAGAGUGUCGGAGAGG
rnacentral:rRNA from 1 species